CAGAAGAAGGAGUCUUUUUUACACUCCAUUAUUGCUGGAUUUGGGUUUCUGUCAGUGCAAGAACAAACAAACAGUAUUCAAAAGAUCUUAUUUUACUGCCAGCUAAAUUCACUGAGCGUCAAAAAAAAGAACAUCUCAAUCUGAACAGCCAAAGCUGUGGAAGGGCAUUGAAGCAAGACCACAUCACCUAUGAACUGGCAGUGAGGGAUGUAUACUGCAUACUUAAUAGUGCCUGCAGAUCAUCAGCUUGAUCACCUCCAUGGCAAGUGCUGUACAAACAUGUUAUAAAAGAAGACAGUCCCAUCCCCACAGAAGGUACCAUGAAGAGAGAAGACCCCUGCAUUGGAAUUUGACAGAGCUACAAGUGAUGUGUUAAUAGUCAAAGCAAGAUUCUGCUAAUACAGCACCUUGGAAGAGUAAGUCAGCUACAAAAUUCAAAGAUCCAGGGAUGUUGGGGUGUGUUUUGAUGGGAAGCAGGGCAGAGUCUCUUCUGCUGGCAGACCAGUGUGUCAUCUGUCAUGCUUGGUGGCAAAAGAGCUUUCUUUUCUCAACAUGAAACGCAGUCGUUGCCAGAGGUAGAAAGACCCAUGGGAAGCCAAGGUCAGAACUCAACAGAAGGGAGUAAAACCUUAGGGGAGCAACAAGGAGGAAAAGAAAGGAAUGAGGAAACAAAUAUUAAAACAAGAGAAAAAAAUAAUAAAGGAAACACACAAAUUAUAGAGAUCCUGAUCAGUAGUGAUGUUCAGAGGGCUCAUCAGGCAGUGCUGCUGCCACUUCAAUGGAACCUAACAAAGACACUGAAGCAGGUAGGUGCCUCAGUGCCUCCAUCGUUUCCAUCCCAGAGAUUCCUCAAAGUGGCUCCCAUCACAGUGACACUAUCCCUGACAGAUUUAGGUCCUUGCAGGCCUCAACAUUUCUGUCUUUGAUCAGUUAGAGCAGUGGCUUGCAGAGGUCAUUACAGCUGUAAUUGUCAGCUAUUAAUAGCCCCACUAUUCAUCACCCUUGGGGUCAUCACCACAGCGAAUACUAUAUGGGCCUUGGCCAAACUUAUCUCAGCCAAGACACCAGUGAUUUGUGGGCAGGACCUAGACCUGUUCUUACCCUGAGACACUAUUCACCUUCUGAUCUCCACUACCUUAGGUUCAUGUUGACUGCCCUGCUGGCUCAAAUGACUGCAGGUAAAGGUUGCCCUCUGCAGUUUUACAAGACCACUUCAUUCCCCUGGGACAGGGGUGAGAACCUGAUAGACCACCAUGUAAAGCUAUUGCAACUUACUUUCACUCAGAACACAGUGGCAUAUGGAUGUGGCGAGAAAUGCAGGAAAGCAUUCCUCACACCUCAGCAGCCCAUGCCAUCCCAUCUGCUCUCACACGCAGUUCAAAUGCACGAUAUUCACUUCCCAGAUGCUGCCUCCUCAUGCCACCUACUGAGAGGGCUAUGCUUGAGGAAUAGCGCAGUUAGCAAGGCUCAGGAUAGAGACAUCAAAAACUAAAAAUCCACGGGUUUUUUUUUGUUGCUGUGGAAUGCGCUUAUAUUAGACUGUGCUGAAGACAUAGUCCUGAGAGGAAAAUGUGGAGUGAUUCUCCAUAUUGGCUGUUCCACACCGCAAAGACAAUGAGAGUUCCAGACAAAAAUAAGACAAUCCUUCCAGGCAGAACAGAACGCAGCAUCUCACUGGAUUCUUCCUACUUCUUAACUCUUCUUGUGCUGCCAGGACACCACAGUGAAGGCCUCUCAGAAACUCCUAACCAGGUUGGUUAAACAGCUUGCCUAGCAUCUUGGCCAUCUGCAUAGUCUCCUCAGUCCACAAAGUCAAGAAUACAGUGAUAGCUAUUAGACUGCACAAUCUCUGUUUAAGUUUGUCCAUAGUGAGUUGAGAGCAGCUGAUUAAGUGAAAAUUCUUUAUUUCUAGAAGUUAUCACUUCAAUACACAAUCCUCUUUCCAAAGUUUAUCCUGCAUUCAUCUUCAUGACAGAAUAUUGUUCAUUAGCAUAAUAAAUCUUCUCAGUUUGUAUAGAAUAGCUUGAUAAACAAAUGCCAUCUGUCUAUUCAUUAGUAAUACAGAUUUAUUUGUAUUUGGCUGUGGAUCUCAGGUUGAUUUAAAA